ensembl:lncRNA
GUGUGUGUGUGUGUGUAAAAUAAAUAAAUAAUAUGCCUGUAAAUCAGGUUUGAGAGUCAGAGCUGAGGAGAAAACUUUGGCUCUCUCUGCUCCUCCAUCAGUGACCCUCCCCCUCCCCCCGCGCACCUGCACUGCAGCUCGCAAACUUUUGCAGGGCAUGUGACGUCAUUCAGUCCACAGUCGGAGUAGCCGUUUAAGUGGAGCUCUGAAGACUGCAAAGCUUUCUGCAGGUGAAGGAAGCCACGGCAGCAAGCCAAACACAGACGAUAAUGUGGCCCUCACAUGCAGCGAUGACGGCUGUUCUGAUAGUGGUGUUGUAGAUGAAAGUCCCACAGCAGCUACUCCGUGUCGCCCAGAGAAAUGAGAAAGGAGGAGGCAGUGAGAUGGAUGAAGGUGGAAGUUCUGAGCAUUUCUCCUAUCAAAAGAGACCGGAGCACACCAGUGAAGAGAGUGCAGAUGUAGAUGAAGAGAGCAAGGACGCAAGACUGGCUCUGAGGAAAAGAGGAAAAACCAAAGUGGCCAAAGCAAAGGAGAAACCCUGUGUGAAGGUCAAGAGGCCGUGGAGUGGAGAAAACAACAGUACAAAGACGGUUAUCAGCUUUUCUGAUUUGUUAUUUUUAACCCAUACAAACAAAUCAAGUACUUAAUGAUCACUUUGUUGGUGUAAGUCAUGAAAAGUAGUUACACAUACCUCAACAUAUGCAGAUGUUUAAUAAUCCGAGUUCAUUGUAUUUACCAGUUCCCUAAGGAAAGUUUCCCAUUGAAUGUCCCCAUUUAGGUUAAAGUGAGUGUAUUUGUGUUAAAAACGUCCCCAAAAGUCAUAAGAAUAUGGCAUACUAAUGACUAUAGUUGGAUAUGUUUUGGGAUUAUUUUUCUAAAAAUAGUAUCAUGUUCCUUUUUCAGUAUAAAUCUAUCUAUGAAGUCUGUAAACAAUUUAUCAAUGAUCCCCACACUCAAGCAAGGGUUAUGUUAAAAAAAAAAACCUUCAUUAUGUCUAAGAUUUAAAAAUACGGAACAAAUACCAAUCAGAAUGAGGACUAAGAUAAAGAAAUCCAUCCGAAAAGUAGUUACACGUACCUUAACAUAUGCAGAUGUUUAAUAAUCCGAGUUCAUUGUAUUUACCAGUUCCCUAAGGAAAGUUUCCCAUUGAAUGUCUCCAUUUAGGUUAAAGCGGAGUGUAUUUGUGUUUAAAAACGUCCCCAAAAGUCAUAACUAUAUGGCAUACUAAUGACUAUAGUUGGAUAUGCUUUGUAUUUUUUAAAACAAAAUAGUAUCAUGUACCUUUUUUCUGUAUAAAUGUAUACAUGAAGUUCAAGAACAAUUUAUCAAUGAUCACCACACUGAAGAGUUAUGUUGUAAAACCCUUCAUUAUGUCUAAGAUUUGGAAAUAUGAAACAAAUACCAAUCAGAAUGAGGACUAAGAUAAAGCAAUCCAUCCCCCAAAUGAUUACACAUACUUUAACAUAAGCAAAUAUUUAAUAAUCCUAUUCAUUGUAUUUACCAGUUCCCUAAGGAAAGUUUCCCAUUGACUGUCCCCAUUUAGGUUAAAGCGGAGUGUAUUUGUGUUAGAAACGUCCCCAAAAGUCAUAAGAUUCAGCUGUACCAAUAACUAUAGUUGGAUAUGUUUUUGCAAUGUUUAAAUGGAGGUAUAUUUCUGUAUUUAGUGUUAAUCUACCUUUGAGAUCAGUUAAUAGUUAAUGGUCACUGAUCGUUAAUGAUCACUGUACUCUGGUACUAUACCAAUUCAAUUUCAUUUAUGUAUAUCCUUUUGAUUGUCCUCAUUCAGGUUAACGCAGUGCAUUUUUGUUAGAAAUGUCCCCAGAAGUUAUAAGAGUCAUCUUUUUUGGCAGUUUUCAAUUGUCUCUUGUCUAUUUGUUAUUCAUGUUAAAUCUACUCGUAACAUCAGUGAAAACUAAAAUUAAGAAAUCCAUUCUAAAAUCGUACAGCUUGUCUUAUCACUCACAGAUCUUUAAUACUGUACUUAUUGGUGCCCUCAGGUAAAGGAUAUUUUGAUUGGUUCUAAUGUAGGUUAAAGAAGUGUGUUUAUUAAUAAUUAAAUUAAAUCUUUUAUGAUAGGUUUGCUUCAAAGUUUGGAUAGUUUCUGCAAAUGAAAUGAACCCUUAGUAAUUGUGUACAAAUUAUCUGUGUUAACAAUUCAUAGUUGAAAUUAGAAAUUUCUUUUUUCAUUUAAAUAGAAUAUAAAAACUAGGUUAACUGUCUAAUGUUUGCCUAUUUAACUUAUGUUUAUCUACUCAGGGCUAACCAAGCUGAAGCAGCAUCAUGAGAAAUGCCUGAAACGUAAAAAAAAAAAAAAAUCUGCAAAAUCCGGAUUCCUCAAGGAAUGAGAUUGAGUGUCUUCUUUCAGGUAUGGAGGCAACAAAAACACAAUAGAAUAAGAAAACAGAUCAAGAUGAAGACAGGGACCAGGGACUUCUUCCCAGUGAACAUAUUUGGAAGCAAAGUUCUUGCCUUACAAUUUGCUGGUAACAAACACUCAAUAGUACAGAUGAUUUUUUUCCCCACGUUUCUCUGCAUUAAUGAUGUGCAUGUAUACUCCCAAAACAACACAGUAGUAAUAAAUGCAGUCAAAAAUUUAAAUUGUUCUAUGGCCGAGACAAUGGACAUAGUUUUGAUUUCUUCAAGAUAAAUAGAGACCUUAAUUAUUGUUUAGAUUAUUGUUAGAUUGGGUAUUUAACCUUACAUUGUACUUUGAAGGACUUACCUUUAAGGGAAGUAAUAUCCCCAAAACUGACAUAAAAUAACUUGUGUAUGUGUGUAUUGCUGAAGACCCCAAAGGGGAGUAAGUGUCAGGAUGCCUGGGUCGUUGACCCAUGGUUUUGAGUUUAGAAAUGAUAAAUAAUAGUCUUUGGUUUCUUUGUUAGAGUUCUGUCUUUUUGUUUUUUGUCUCUGUGUAAUCCUUAGUUGCUGUCUCCCCUGUCUGCUAUAUCCACUCAGUGUCUGUCUGCCCUGGUCCCAUGUCUCUCUGUUGUAGUGCCUGCCUGUGAGUCUGUCUGUAAGUUCAGUCUGUGUUAUGUUUCCUGUUUUACUUUGAAAGUCCGUGUCUUAUGUUAAUGUAUCUGGUUUUGCUUCCCCUGUUUCGUUAGGCCUGAUUUGCCCCAGCUGUGUUUCCCUCCUGUUACUCAUUCCCUGAUUGCUCCCUCUGUGUAUUUAAGCCCUGUGUUUCUUUGUGUCUGUGUCGCGAUCUACCCUCAUCUUGCUUUGUGUUCUGUCCGUUUGCCAGUGUAAGUUUAUUCUGUAUUCCUUGAUUUGUUACUUUUUGAGUUUAGCAUUAAAGCUGUAUUUGAGUUCAC